rnacentral:rRNA from 1 species
GACGAACGCUGGCGGCGUGCCUAAACAUGCAAGUAGAACGCUGAAGAGAGGAGCUUGCUCUUCUUGGAUGAGUUGCGAACGGGUGAGUAACGCGUAGGUAACCUGCCUUGUAGCGGGGGAUAACUAUUGGAAACGAUAGCUAAUACCGCAUAACAAUGGAUGACACAUGUCAUUUAUUUGAAAGGGGCAAUUGCUCCACUACAAGAUGGACCUGCGUUGUAUUAGCUAGUAGGUGAGGUAACGGCCCACCUAGGCGACGAUACAUAGCCGACCUGAGAGGGUGAUCGGCCACACUGGGACUGAGACACGGCCCAGACUCCUACGGGAGGCAGCAGUAGGGAAUCUUCGGCAAGGGGGGCAACCCUGACCGAGCAACGCCGCGUGAGUGAAGAAGGUUUUCGGAUCGUAAAGCUCUGUUGUAAGUCAAGAACGAGUGUGAGAGUGGAAAGUUCACACUGUGACGGUAGCUUACCAGAAAGGGACGGCUAACUACGUG